GGUGGCGGGUCCCUUUCCGAUUGCGUAAAAAGAUCUUGGGCCGCAUUCAUCUCAUUGAAAGUAAAGGCCUCUUGCAAUUGGGAGGGGAAACCUCGAAAGGGUAUCCAAAAGCACGGUCUACAAAAAUCGUUGCUAACUGAAGCCAUUUUCAAAGGAAUUACUAUUUCGAAGCCUUUUAAAGGCGCAAACCAAUUUGAUUUGGAGUUUGAAACCAAAAAAAUUAUGAAAAGUGCUCCAGAAUUAUUCCAACGAGUCCAGCAGAGCCUUGGGAAAGACAACAGCAUACCACGGGAUAUCAGUGAAGACAGUGGAUAACUCCCUAUUAGUUCAUUGAACGGGUAUGGAGUCGGAGUCAUGUUCCUCACUCAAUUUCGUGAUUGUUUCGUCUUGUGUUUCUCAAUUUAGUCAGCACGUGUCCGUGCACAUGGACCAAAUUAACACUGAUUUAUGUUAAAUCUACUGUAUCGUUUUUGAAAU